rnacentral:rRNA from 1 species
GAUGAACGCUGGCGGCGUGCCUAAUACAUGCAAGUCGAGCGAACGGACGAGAAGCUUGCUUCUCUGAUGUUAGCGGCGGACGGGUGAGUAACACGUGGAUAACCUACCUAUAAGACUGGGAUAACUUCGGGAAACCGUAGCUAAUACCGGAUAAUAUUUUGAACCGCAUGGUUCAAAAGUGAAAGACGGUCUUGCUGUCACUUAUAGAUGGAUCCGCGCUGCAUUAGCUAGUUGGUAAGGUAACGGCUUACCAAGGCAACGAUGCAUAGCCGACCUGAGAGGGUGAUCGGCAACACUGGAACUGCGACACGGUCCAGACUCCUACGGGAGGCAGCAGUAGGGAAUCCUCCGCAAUGGGCGAAAGCCUGACGGAGCAACGCCGCGUGAGUGAUGAAGGUCUUCGGAUCGUAAAACUCUGUUAUUAGGGAAGAACAUAUGUGUAAGUAACUGUGCACAUCUUGACGGUACCUAAUCAGAAAGCCACGGCUAACUACGUG